rnacentral:rRNA from 1 species
ACUAAUACCGCAUAUUGUAGUUAAGUUGCAUGACUUGAUUAUGAAAGAUUUAUCGCUUAUGGAUGGACUCGCGUCAGAUUAGAUAGUUGGUGAGGUAACGGCUCACCAAGUCAACGAUCUGUAGCCGAACUGAGAGGUUGAUCGGCCGCAUUGGGACUGAGACACGGCCCAGACUCCUACGGGAGGCAGCAGUGGGGAAUAUUGCGCAAUGGGGGCAACCCUGACGCAGCAACGCCGCGUGCAGGAAGAAGGUCUUCGGAUUGUAAACCGUUGUCGCAAGGGAAGAAGACAGUGACGGUACCUUGUGAGAAAGUCACGGCUAACUACGUGCCAGCAGCCGCGGUAAUACGUAGGUGACAAGCGUUGUCCGGAUUUACUGGGUGUAAAGGGCGCGUAGGCGGACUGUCAAGUCAGUCGUGAAAUACCGGGGCUUAACCCCGGGGCUGCGAUUGAAACUGACAGCCUUGAGUAUCGGAGAGGAAAGCGGAAUUCCUAGUGUAGCGGUGAAAUGCGUAGAUAUUAGGAGGAACACCAGUGGCGAAGGCGGCUUUCUGGACGACAACUGACGCUGAGGCGCGAAAGUGUGGGGAGCAAACAGGAUUAGAUACCCUGGUAGUCCACACCGUAAACGAUGGAUACUAGGUGUAGGAGGUAUCGACCCCUUCUGUGCCGCAGUUAACACAAUAAGUAUCCUACCUGGGGAGUACGAC